AUUGAACGCUGGCGGCAGGCCUAACACAUGCAAGUCGAACGAGUGGCGGACGGGUGAGUAAUGUCUGGGAAACUGCCCGAUGGAGGGGGAUAACUACUGGAAACGGUAGCUAAUACCGCAUACCAUCGGAUGUGCCCCGAUGGGAUUAGCUUGUAGGUGGGGUAACGGCUCACCUAGGCGAAGAUCCCUAGCUGGUCUGAGAGGAGGACCAGCCAAACUGGGACUGAGAAACGGUACAGACGCAUAAGUGAGGCAGCAGUGGUGAAGAUUGAACAAUGGGCGCAAGCCUGAUGCAGAAAUGCGGAGGGGAAGAGGAAGGCCUUCGGGUUGUAAAGUACUUUCAGCGGGGAGGCGUUAUCCGCAGAAGAAGCACCGGCUAACUACGUGCCAGCAGCCGCGGUAAGAC
rnacentral:rRNA from 1 species